UGGCGGCGUGCCUAACACAUGCAAGUCGAGCGAUUCUCUUCGGAGAAGAGCGGCGGACGGGUGAGUAACGCGUGGGUAACCUGCCUCAUACACAUGGAUAACAUACCGAAAGGUAUGCUAAUACAGGAUAAUAUAAGAGAUUCACAUGGAUUUCUUAUCAAAGCUCCGGCGGUAUGAGAUGGACCCGCGUCUGAUUAGCUAGUUGGUAAGGUAACGGCUUACCAAGGCGACGAUCAGUAGCCGACCUGAGAGGGUGAUCGGCCACAUUGGAACUGAGACACGGUCCAAACUCCUACGGGAGGCAGCAGUGGGGAAUAUUGCACAAUGGGCGAAAGCCUGAUGCAAGCAACGCCGCGUGAGUGAUGAAGGCCUUCGGGUCGUAAAACUCUGUCCUCAAGGAAGAUAAUGACGGUACUUGAGGAGGAAGCCCCGGCUAACUACGUGCCAGCAGCUGC
rnacentral:rRNA from 1 species